rnacentral:rRNA from 1 species
UACGGAGGGUGCAAGCGUUAUCCGGAUUCACUGGGUUUAAAGGGUGCGUAGGAGGGCAGGUAAGUCAGUGGUGAAAUCUCCAAGCUUAACUUGGAAACUGCCGUUGAUACUAUCUGUCUUGAAUAUUGUGGAGGUGAGCGGAAUAUGUCAUGUAGCGGUGAAAUGCUUAGAUAUGACAUAGAACACCAAUUGCGAAGGCAGCUCGCUACACAUAUAUUGACUCUGAGGCACAAAAGCGUGGGGAUCAAACAGG